rnacentral:ncRNA from 2 species
CAGGCUGGUUAGAUGGUUGU